rnacentral:rRNA from 1 species
UACGUAGGGGGCUAGCGUUGUCCGGAAUCAUUGGGCGUAAAGCGCGUGUAGGCGGUUCGGUAAGUCCGCUGUGAAAGUCGGGGGCUCAACCCUCGGAUGCCGGUGGAUACUGUCGGACUAGAGUACGGAAGAGGCGAGUGGAAUUCCUGGUGUAGCGGUGAAAUGCGCAGAUAUCAGGAGGAACACCAAUGGCGAAGGCAGCUCGCUGGAACGGUACUGACGCUGAGGCGCGAAAGCGUGGGGAGCGAACAGG